CCAGCAUCAUGGAUCAGGACAGAGAGGAGGGAGUCCCUCCCUCUAAAACCACUCAGAGGAACCAGCCUGGACCUGGACCUGGACCUGAACCUAUACCUAGACUCAUAUCUGGAGCUGAACAUGAAGUUAAACCUAAAGGUGAACCUAAACCCAGCUGUGUAUCCAUGAUGAGCGACCAGUCAAGAGAAGAUUUAAUUCAUUUCCAUCAAAGUCGUGGAUCUAACAGACAUUUCUGAGAAUCAGGACAUUCAGAUGGGCUCAGAUGUUAAGACGAGUUGGAUCAGAUGGUUCAACCAGCAAACAGCUGCAGUUUGAUCCUAAACCCAGUCAGACCAGUCUGAUCCAGUUCUUUCCAAACUCAGACAGCUGGAUUUCUCUAAGAACUCAGAAAGCUUCAUGUUUCC